AGAGUCUUACAUGAAAGGCAUAGCCAACCAUCAUGGCCCCGAGUCAUGCCUCGACCUACAGCAAUGGGGUGGGGAAGCGUUGACAGGGGAACACACAGGCCCAAUAAUGAGCUCCGAAAUCACCUCAAUUCGUAGGCUGACCCUGUUGAGCGAAGGGGAAUGCAACAUCGGUCGUAUCAUCAAGGCAAGAUACGACAGGCUACGGCGGAGUCGUAGAACU
rfam:Chlorobium phaeobacteroides DSM 266, complete genome.